rnacentral:lncRNA from 1 species
AGGAUAAGCGUCGUUGGGGCAGGUCCUGGGUAGAGUCCAGGUUGGCGGGUCCUGGGGCGGAGUCAGGAUAGGGCGAUCCUGGAAGCUGGGCUUCAGAAGCGUCCAGAUAGGGUCUCUCUCUCUGCCACCCAGGCCAGAGUGCAGUUGACGCAGGGCAGGGGAGCCCCGAAGUGGAGCAUAGUGUGUCCGGAACUGGUGGGUUCUUGGUCUCACUGACUUCAAGAAUGAAGCCGUGGACCCUCACGAGACAGGGUUUCACCAUGUUGGCCAGGCUUGUCUUGAACUCCUGACGUCGUGAUCUGCCUGCUUUGGCCUCCCAAAGUCCUGGGAUUACAGGCAUGAGCCACCGUACCCAGCCACUCUUGAUUAACUUAAUGGAAAUAUUUACAGAGAUUCUUUCUCUUCUGGGUUCUAGCGUCUUAUCUGUAACCUCUGCAGGUGCAGGAAUGAGAGGCAGCAGCCGGGGAAGCCAGGGUCUCCGGAAGUCCUUGUCUCUGGGCGGUGAUCCAGAGAGAGAGAGAGAACACGAUUGUCUCAGCAAUGGGUCUUCUUCUGAGUCUUGAAGGAGCACUUCCAGAGCCUCUCAGUGUUAAACAUCGUGUUGUGAAUGACUCCGUGAGCUCUGACCCAGUGACCUUGGGGAUAAAGGAGGGGAGGUACGGAUAAGCUCUUCGAAUGGAUGUUGCCGGGGUGUCAGUGUUCUUUGAGGGCACAGACUAUGUGUCACUAAAGAAAGAGCCCAGUGCCUUUUCUCAUUGCUCAAGAGAUUGAAGGGGUAGUAAGAAAAGAUGUUAAGUUAUAAACACGUUUCAGUUUUGGUACCAGUUGAACCAAUUUACGUUUUGAAGAGGAAAGAGUCUUGCCUACAAUGUCAGCCCCCGGGUUUUCCUUCUGCUUAUGGAAUCCAGGCAAUGGGCAAAGAGAAAAAGAAAACUAAGGAAUCAGCCAGGUGCAGUGGCUCAUGCUUGUGAUCUUGGCACUUUGGGAAGCUGAGGCAGGUGGACUUCUUGAGUGCAGCAGUUCAAGACCAGCCUGGCCAACAUAGUGAGACCCCGUUUCUACAAAAAAUACAAAAAGUUGCUGAGCAUGGUGACAUGCACCUGUAGUCCCAGUUACUUGGGAGGCUGAGGUGGGAGAACUACUUCAUCCCAGGAGGCUGAGGCUGCAGCGAGCCAUGAUCGUGCCACUAUACUCCUGCCUGGGUGGCAGAGUGAGGCCCUGUCUCAAAAGAAAACAAAAAAGAUAAAAAGAAAACUAGGGAAUCUAGACAGCAUAAGUUUAUAUAUAUAAUAAAGAACUGAGAUAGAAAAAAAAAAAAAAAAAA